rnacentral:tRNA from 1 species
GUAAAUAUAGUUUAUCAAAAACACUAGACUGUGACUCUAGAAACAGAAGCGCUACCUUCUUAUUUACC